rnacentral:misc_RNA from 1 species
AAGUCGUAACAAGGUUUCCGUAGGUGAACCUGCGGAAGGAUCAUUAACACAUAUCCAACGUUAAACCCCCCUGUGAACCUUCAGUGUGCUCGCACUUUCUUAGAAAAGGUAGCAACCCCUGGUAAAUCAUUGUUGAACAGAUUUUGAUUCAGGGACCUCAGUUUGGUAGGCGAAGAUCGAGCGAUCGUUGCAAGUGGCCUGGUUUCCCCAAGCAGUCAGUGUCUGGAAGUGUCAUUGAUUGUGUAAGGAUAACGCUUUUCGAUCACUAGAGGCCGAACACCGGCCGGUGACCAGGUCGCCGUGGCUUCGGCCCCCUAUAUUAACCCCACUACCUGAACUCGCCUCGUAGGAAACUGCUGGGCAACAAAACGAACAACUGUUAACAAUGGAUAUCUUGGUUCUC